GCUCUAGUAGCUCAGUUGGUUAGAGCACUCAUUUAUUAAGCGGGAGGUCUUGAGUUCAACUCUCAACUAAAGAA
rnacentral:tRNA from 1 species